AGCCACUUAACUUGCGCACUUUCCCUCCUUUAUGUAGUCAUGCGCUGCCGUCGGAACGCAUAGAUAUGGAUGUGCGUCUGCAGACCCGCUGCCUGUCCUGUCCUGUCCCCCGCUUCUAAACCACAACCACGGCGACAAAAAACAAAAACAAAAAAGUCAAGUGUUCGGAUCAAAAGAGGAAAGGUGGUUAAAGUGGAUUAUUCUCCACUGUCCGCAGGAGCUUUGUUUUUGUUUUUUGGGGGUUUUUUUCUGCUGCUGUUGCUUAUCUGAGUUGCACCACCGCUCUCAUGCCCGCGCAGAAGUUUUUUGCCCGUCAGGCGGGGGCUUUGCUUGGGAAAAUGUCCAGCCAAGAUGCUAAGUUGGAAAUAGUGGAUCCUGACGCCUACCACGCCGCGCACUACGCUCCUCCUCCCGGGGUGUAGUCACCGAAGGAGAAGGAAAAGCUUAUGCUGGGUAACCAUGAGAGCCCUACUCAAAUUAAUGCUCUCUCUCUCUCUCUCUCUCUCUCUCUCUCUCUCUCUCUCUCUCUCUCUCUCUCUCUCUCGCGUUAACUAACAAUCAUCCUCAUUCUCUAUUUCUCUAUUUUUUCCUCUUUAACUAGACUCGUCGCAGUAAGUCUCGAGUGUGCCCAGCACCCCCUCUUCCUCCUCCUCCUCUUCCUUCUCCUCCUCCUCCAGACGGCGACAUGUCAGCUCCCAACUUUCUUCUUUUCUCCACCGAAGCCGUCACUUUCACACUUGAUCAAUAACAAAUCGGCUGCUGCCAGGCAGGAUGCAGUAGUCUACUUCAAGAGUUGGAGAGGAUUUUUUUAUUUAUUUGUUUUAUUUUUUUUUUUAAAGUCGCUUCCAUGCUGCAUUUCCCCCUCAUUUCCUUUUGCUUUGUGCGUAAAAAGUCUUCGUUUUUAAAUGCGCGUUAAAUCAACUGUCUGAUGUUCCACGUUUCCGUGCGUCUUGUGCUUUAAUGCGCAUUUGGAGGUUUCAAAUGGAUUACCAUAUGGACAGUUCUUGUAUUGGAGGACGAGCCACGGUUGGAGAUCACUGGGUUUGUAUUAGAAGGUCAUGCAUAGGGUGGAGAGUGUGUGCAGCUUUGCGGGCUCUUACAACCCCAGCAGCACGGUCGAAAAGACGCGCUGGCAGGGUCCCAAGGUGGAUGCAUCGCCCACGCACGCUGCCCUCGCCAGCUCCCAGAAGCCUUUGUGGUGAACCACUGACCGUGCUGCUCCCCAUUUUCCUGCAGCCCAGGGAAUAAUGUGUCUGAAAAAGAUUAUUGAUAGCCCAUAAAAGAAGAGCCAGAAUGUUGUUGCCUGACUGCUCCAACUUUGAAGGACAAUACAAGUGCUAAACCAUCACUUUGAAUGCUACACUGGCUCUGAAAGGAGCUCAGCGUUUAUUUCCCUCAUUG
rnacentral:lncRNA from 1 species